rnacentral:pre_miRNA from 1 species
UGGACAGAUUAUUGUAUUCGACUGUAUUAACGGCGUGAAAUAGGGGAUUACACUAUUUUUAAAUAGAAAGUGAAUCAAUUAACAUAAUAGAGUCUU